GAUUUCAACUGAAAAAUUCAUCAACAAUAAAGUUGUAUAACUCAUUAAUAUCUAUAACUUUUAUUUUGGUCAUUUCUUCAUCCGAUAAAGUAAUAGUAACAUUGUUCACAAAAUUUACAUAUAUCUCUUAUAGAUUAUAAAACAGUAUAAGAGAUAUGUAAAAUUUGUAAACAAUGUUACUAUCACUUUGUCAGAUGAAGAAAUGACCAAAAUAAAAAUUGUAGAUACAGAUGGAUUAUACAACUUUGUUGUUGAUGACUUUUUCAGUUGAAGUC
rnacentral:pre_miRNA from 1 species